AGAUUUGGCCUUCAGGUGUGCGGAGCUAAUAACUAAGUAGGAUCUCUACCUCUCUCUAUCUUUCUCACAAAAAUUACCACCUCAAGUAGACAAAAUUGCCAUAACAUGAUCUGUUUCAAUUGUCUUUGAAGUUUCGUUUGUUUCAUGAAAAAUAAGUAAUUUGAAAAAAAAAUUUCCUAAAAAAAUUUACCGUUACAUGAAUUGUUUCGAUUGUCUUUGAAUCAGUCUUUAACUCUAGUAACGUGGCGGUGUAGACGAGGAACUGGGGCGAAUUCUCACCACUGUACAAGAAGCUACGGGGUGCGUACAUGCUUGGAAAGUGGGUGAACGAAAACGUAUGCUGCAUCCUCUAGGAAAUCUAUGAGUAUCGUCGCCAGUUGUUGUGGGGUUUCUCUAUUCCUAUUAGUGUGUUGUGCUGUGUUUUAGGUAUUGGUUGGGCCAUGCAUAUGUUGCCUGUUG